rnacentral:lncRNA from 1 species
AAAUUUCAUGGGAUUAACAUCAUCAUUUUCAUCAUUCCCACAAUUCAAUAAAAUUUCCUGUUUUUAACGUCAUCACUUUUAUCAUUCACACAAUUCAAUCGAAUUUCAUGGGUUUAACAUCAACAUUUCAUCAUUUCUACAAUUCAAUCAAAUUUCAUAGGUUUAACAAUAACACUUUCAUCAUUCCCAUAAUUCAAUCAAAUUUCAUGGGUUUAACAUCAUCAUUUUCGUCAUUCACACAGUUCAAUCAAAUUUCAUG